AGGUUGCCAAGUGGAUGAAGGCAAU
rnacentral:tRNA from 1 species